CUUGGCCUCCCAAAGUGCUGGGAUUACAGGCGUGAGCCACUGCUCUGGGUCCCUUCUGUCUUCUCUUGCCAUCUUUCCCUGGGCUUCUAGUUCCAUGUGGCUGACACGGGCCACAGCCUGGCCUCUCAGUUCCUUGUCACUCUCACCUGCAGCAGGCUUUUCCUCUACCUUAGCUCAGCCCCCACCACGAGGGCACCAGAGCUGCCUUGACUUGCAAACACCCGCUCUCUGACCUCCACCUUUGACUCUUUCUACUCCCUUAGUCUUCAACGUUUGGACCAAGCCAGCCUGUUGAACUCACCACUUGUAUACCAUCUUGCUUUUCCCGUCUUGCCUUUUCUCCUUACCUAGGUUAGAGCUAUCAUUUUAAUCUUGUUCCUACAAACACUUUCUGUUCCCUGGCCCCUGUCUCCCAUCAUCUGGCACAAAACCCAUUCUAGUGGAACCCAGCUCUCCUCCGGCUUGGGAACCAUUGAGUAUGGCAGGAGAGAAAUCACAUAACUGAUGCCAUAUUUUCCCUUGUAAAUUCAUAGCCACAAAUCUCAAAUAAGCAUUUUCCAUGAUCCCCUGCAAUUCCACUACUGGUUAGUAACGUUUCCACUCUCACCUCGACCUCUCCCCAUUGUUAUUCUCACCUUCGGGCCUGGCCUUACACAUCGUUGAAAUGAUAGAUGUUGUCCUACAGGACACCUCAUGUUCCUACCUCCAAAUCCCCCAGCCUUCUGCACCUGUGCCUGUGUCCUCACUGCCUCCCCACCUGUGACAGUGGCAGAACAGUCCCUGCUCAUGGGGACCCCCACCUCUGCUCUGGAUCCCAUUCUCCCUGACCUCUGAAAGCAUUUGCUCCUUCAUCUGUCACCUCUCUCCAGCGUCAUUAUGGAAAAUCCUCUGUCUUAACACAAAGCAGCCCUCUCGACCCCACUUCCCUGUUCAUUUCUCUGCCCUCCUUCAAAGCACAAUUUCUCGGGAAUUACCAUACUCCCUAUUUCCUUUCUCACUUCUGCUUCAUUGCUUAACCCUUCCCAGUCCAGCUUCAUCCCUACCAUGCUGCUAAAACUGCCUUUUCAAAGGUUACUUACAGCUUUGGCCUUGCCAGAUCUGCUGCUGUGCUGUUCUCCUGUGCUUCCUUCUCAGCACGGCUCCCUGCCCUCUGUUUUGAAGCAUUCUUCUCCCUUGUAGGGAUCCAAUUUCAGUCUUUCCCGAAAUAGAUAACCACCGUUCCCUGUACCAUUUAUUGAGAAAUACAUCAUCUCCUCACUCCCCAGCAGCACUAGCGCCCUCACCUAGUCCCCAGGUAAUGCUGGUCUCCUGGGAUGAGUUAGGAAGUAUCCCCUCAUCUUCAGUUAUUUAGAAGAAUUUCAGGAUUGGUGUUAAUUGGUCUUUAAAUGUUUGGUGGAAUUUCGAAGCCAUCUGGUCCUGGACAUUUCUUUGGGUCUGGCUGUGUCACCCAGGUUGGAAUGUGGUGGCGUGAUCUCAGCUCACUGCAACCUCU